rnacentral:rRNA from 1 species
ACUUAAAUUGAAGAGUUUGAUCAUGGCUCAGAUUGAACGCUGGCGGCAGGCCUAACACAUGCAAGUCGAACGGUAGCACAAAGGAGCUUGCUCCUUGGGUGACGAGUGGCGGACGGGUGAGUAAUGUCUGGGAAACUGCCCGAUGGAGGGGGAUAACUACUGGAAACGGUAGCUAAUACCGCAUAAC